CCUACGGGUGGCAGCAGUGAGGAAUAUUGGUCAAUGGACGAGAGUCUGAACCAGCCAAGUAGCGUGAAGGAUGACUGCCCUAUGGGUUGUAAACUUCUUUUAUAUGGGAAUAAAAUGUUCCACGUGUGGGUUUUUGUAUGUACCAUAUGAAUAAGGAUCGGCUAACUCCGUGCCAGCAGCCGCGGUAAUACGGAGGAUCCGAGCGUUAUCCGGAUUUAUUGGGUUUAAAGGGAGCGUAGGUGGAUGGUUAAGUCAGUUGUGAAAGUUUGCGGCUCAACCGUAAAAUUGCAGUUGAAACUGGCAGUCUUGAGUACAGUAGAGGUGGGCGGAAUUCGUGGUGUAGCGGUGAAAUGCUUAGAUAUCACGAAGAACUCCGAUUCCGAAGGCAGCUCACUGGACUGCAACUGACACUGAGGCUCGAAAGUGUGGGUAUCAAACAGGAUUAGAUACCCGAGUAGUC
rnacentral:rRNA from 1 species